GCUGGGCAUGGUGGCGCGCGCCUGUAGUCCCAGCUACUGGGGAGGCUGAGGCAUAAGAAUUGCUUGAACCCGGGAGGCGGAGGUUGCAGUGAGCCAAGAUUGUGCCACUGCACUCCAGCCUGGGUGACAGAGCAAGACUCUGUCUCAA
ensembl:misc_RNA Metazoa_SRP Metazoan signal recognition particle RNA